rnacentral:rRNA from 1 species
CCUACGGGUGGCAGCAGUCGAGAAUCAUUCACAAUGGGGGAAACCCUGAUGGUGCGACGCCGCGUGGGGGAAUGAAGUUCUUCGGAUGUUAAAUCCCUUUCAUGUGGGAGCAAAUUAAAAAAAUAGUACCAUAAGAGGAAGAUAUCGCUAACUCUGUGCCAGCAGCCGUGGGAAUACGGCGGUCGUAAGCGUGGUUCGGAAGCACUGGGCGUAAAGCGGGCGUAGUCGGUUGAGUAAGUCGUAUGUGAAAGGCUCGGGCUCAACCCGAGGACGGCAUCUGAUACUGCGAGACUAGGGGAAUGGAGGGGGAACCGGAAUUCUUGGUGUAGCAGUGAAAUGCGUAGAUAUCGAGAGGAACACUCGUGGCGAAGGCGGGUUGCUGGACAAUAACUGACGCUGAGGCACGAAGGCCAGGGGAGCGAAAGGGAUUAGAUACCCCAGUAGUC